GACCUCGGAUCAGGUAGGGAUACCCGCUGAACUUAAGCAUAUCAAUAAGGCGG
rnacentral:rRNA from 1 species